rnacentral:rRNA from 1 species
ACUCAAAGGAAUUGACGGGGGCCCGCACAAGCAGCGGAGCAUGUGGUUUAAUUCGACGCAACGCGAAGAACCUUACCUGGGCUUGACAUGUACCUGACCGGUGUGGAAACACACCUUCCCUUCGGGGCAGGUUCACAGGUGGUGCAUGGCUGUCGUCAGCUCGUGUCGUGAGAUGUUGGGUUAAGUCCCGCAACGAGCGCAACCCCCGUCGCAUGUUGCCAGCGGUUCGGCCGGGGACUCAUGCGAGACUGCCGGUGACAAACCGGAGGAAGGUGGGGAUGACGUCAAGUCAUCAUGCCCCUUAUGUCCAGGGCUACACACGUGCUACAUUGGCGCCUACAAAGGGCUGCGAUACCGCGAGGUGGAGCGAAUCCCAAAAAGGGCGUCUCGGUUCGGAUUGGAGGCUGAAACUCGCCUCCAUGAAGGUGGAGUUGCUAGUAAUCCCAGAUCAGCAAUGCUGGGGUGAAUACGUUCCCGGGCCUUGUACACACCGCCCGU